AGGAGGUGGGGUCCUUUCUGUCCUCCCGCUCGCCCCAAGGUGCCUGCGGAGCUCGGCGCCGGCCGCGCGCGGGAGAGGGGGCGGCACAAACGGAGCGUCCCCUCGGCGCCGCCACCAUGAUGGGGGGCAAGACCAGCGCCAUCGCGGCGGGGCUCUGCGGGGCUCUUUUCAUCGGCUACUGCAUCUACUUUGAUCGCAAGAGACGGAGCGACCCCAAUUUCAAGAACCGACUGCGGGAGCAUAAUCAGAUAAACCGGUGUGAUCUAUUGAAGUUGUUACUGUGCUUUCAGGAUAAGACUGAAUGCCAGAGAAAACUGUGGAUUCAUCCAAAAUGCAGAGCUCCUCUCCUGUGGCUCUCCAUUAUUUCACAUCUUCAACACUUAUUUAAAUGUUUUAGAAGGAGGAAACAGAAGCUUGCCAAAGAGAGAGCAGGGCUUUCCAAGUUGCCUGAUCUGAAAGAUGCUGAAGCAGUUCAGAAGUUUUUCCUUGAGGAGAUUCAGCUUGGCGAGGAACUACUAGCUCAAGGUGAAUAUGAGAAAGGUGUUGAUCACUUGACCAAUGCCAUUGCUGUGUGUGGGCAGCCACAGCAGCUACUACAAGUUCUACAGCAGACUCUUCCACCACCAGUGUUUCAAAUGCUUCUAACUAAGCUCCCUACAAUAAGCCAGAGAUGUGUGUGGCACUCUGAAGAAUCUGUCAAGAUGAAGUCUCUGCUUCUGCAAGCUCACAGCCUGCGGCCCUGAUCCUGUAAUUUACACUCCAUGGUCCUUUCCUCAUGGAAACUCCUAAGCAGUCAAGAGCAGGACAUUGGGACAGUGACACAGGAAGGGAGAAGGUGAAGGGACACAAAAUGGGAUCUAAUCUGUUCUUCAUGGGACAUCACUUUCUGGCUUUUUCUUUUUGGCAAGAAACUACAGCCUCUGCGUGAUCAUAUUAUAGCAUGUCCUGUUGACAAGGGCUCAACUCAGAUCAAACUGCGUGAAGAGAUAACUGUGGCCUUGAUCGCUCCGUGGUGAAGCCAGAGUAAAUUACUUUAUGCCAAAUGAGUUGUUGCCUGUUUAUUUCAGAUUAAACAGCUUAGGACCUGGCCUCCAGAUCAUGUCAUUUCUCUAAUUCAACUGGAUGGUAUUUAUAAGUUCAUAGUGGUCAAA